CCGCGAGAGCAAGGCAGCCGCAGUCGUAGCAGGAAGGCGGCACAGAAAUAUAAUACCUAUCACAUAUCUCAUACAGAGAUUGCACUGUCAUAGUGUUGGGAAUAUUCACAUAUAAUUUAUACACGUAAAAAAACAUAAAGGUAGAUAGAAGAUAACAAAACAUCACGGUUGUUUAAGCCAAUGAGCAUUGAGCUGUGUCAUCAGCCAGUCAUUUCCCAUCGUGCUUGAAGUUUGCGCAACUCGAAAAAGCAACUGAGCCGCCUGCCUGCUACAACUACGUCUGCCUCGCACUCGCUGGACAUUUUUUGACAUGCGUCUUCAUGACAUCACAUCAUGUUGGACAGAUUUCUAACCGGCAUGCACCUGCCAGUGAUUACCGGUGAUUGGUUCUGUGCAGAAAUUGCUCAUCUCAAACGAGCCUAUUGAGUCUGUCCUUGCUGCAGCCUGUAUCGCGAUGACGUAUUGGAUUAAAUCCACUACGUACUGGAUGUUUGUAACCUCCAUGAAGUUGGCACCCCAUAUAAUUAAAUCAUUACCAAAUCUAUACCAUUCGUUUGUGCUGCGUUUGUGCCAUAAAAAUUAAUGUUUGUGCUGGUUCAGUGUUUGAGAUAUUAGACAUGUUUUUGGCUGUGUGACAUCACAUUCCACCCCAUGUGGUCCAAAUCGCUCCAGACCAGUGUCAUUCAUUUGUGCUGGGUUGUGCCAUUAAAAGAAACACUGUAAUUAUUUAUCUUCCUUAGAUAUAGCAAGAAACUUUUCAGGAGCAUUGACGUCUCUCUCCACCCCAUGUCAUCCAAAUCGCACCAAACCGGUGUCGUUUGUUUGUGCUGAUUUGUGCCAUUAAAAUUAGUCUUGUAUCUGUUUCCCUUCCUUAGAAAUAACACUAAACUUUUCUGGAGCAGUGAUGUCACUCCCCACCCCAUGUGGUCCAAAUCGCUCCAAACUGGUCCCCAUGUCAAUCACUCUCACCUGUCUUCAUCGUAUGUGCUCACUUCUGGUUUGUGCUGUGUUUAGUAUCGUUGAAGCAUUCAUUUUUUAACCGCAAUAAAACCGCUGUAACACCACACUGCAACCAACGUUUAUUCAGCUGACUUGCUGCGUAAUCAGUUAAUGGCUAAACAGACAGAGUUGUUGAAUGACUGGUCUCAGAACAGUUUGAAAGGCACCAGAUUUUCAUCCUACUUCCACAGUCUCUGAAGGCAGCAUGUUUCAGCUUUCUGAUGCGAGCCUUGUAUCAAUCAAAGCGAUAUAUGAAACAUUCUCAUAAACAUCUGCGGUUCCAUAUGUCAGUGCGUGCUUGAAACUGAAAAGUGAUUGGUCAGUGGAGAACUUCUGAAGAAAGCUCGAUUGGUCAGGUGAGGUGAAAAUAACCUCAAAAGCUUGUGAUUUGACCUAUCAUCUUUAGGCACAUCCUAUUAUAAAAAUGAGCAACAAUUUGCAACUUUAGCUGACUGCCAUGAGGCAGAAAUCGUGAUCUCAAUUAAAAUACGAUUAAUUGUGCAGCCCUAAUAUAUUUUUCAUUAAUCCAGACAUAAACAGUGAUGGGGGGGGCAGUGGUGGCUCAGCGUUAAGGCUCUGGGUUACUGAUCAGAAGGUUGGGGGUUCAAGCCCCAAUACUGCCAAGAUGCCACCAUUGAGCCCUUGAGCAAGGCCCUUGACCCCAUCUGCUCCAGGGGCACCAUAUCAUGGCUGACCCUGCACUCUGACCCCAGCUUAGCUGGGAUAUGUGAAAAAAAAAAAAAGAAUUUCACUGUAUAUGUGCAAAUGUGUGAUUAAAUAAAUACAAUUAUUAUAAUUAUUAAUUAACGACAAUUUUACCAAAGAAAACAUGACUGCUAAAAACACAUACAAUAACAGUUUAUCAGUGCCAUUGAGUUAGCGCAUGCAUGUUCAAACAAUCAUGACAUCACCCAAAUCCACUCCGUGCAUGCUUGUUACACAUCCAGUUCAUAUUGGAUCAAAUCCAGUAUGUCAUCGCGCUACAGGCUGCAGUGAGUACCUCUUGGAGCUUGGCUGUCCUCCGACCAAUGGAGCUUGGCUGUCCUCUAUUGAACAUUUCUGGUACUGUGCCUGAGCACUUUGUCACUCGAUCUAAAAUUUGGAACAAAACUGACUUUGAUUUUCUAGUAUAUUUAAUCUUCAGUUGAUAUUUGUAUUAUAUUUUAUUUAUAUAAACAAUAAAAGGUUUGUGCAGUACAUUUUCAUUACAAUAAACUUAAGACUUCUAUAGCUUUUUUUUAUUUCACUUUAAAAACUGCUUUCACUUGCACAAUACAUUGCAAUGGUAACAGUAUGUAAGAUAUUAACUGAUAAAAAUGCAACAACCACAUCAGAUUGGUUAACAAUUACCUUCUAGUUGAAGUUCUGUUAAUAUUUUUGCAUCUGUGAUUAUUUGGCAGCUUUAAUCACCUGAAAUGUCUGCUAUCAUUAUGCCAAAUGUUUUUAACAUAAGUGUAUUAUACAGGAUAAGCUUUUAUGUAUGUAAAUAUGUUUGAUGCUAUUUGAUAAAAUAAAUGUAUACAUAAUAUAAUUUAAUGUGAAUCAGUCUCUAUCUAUCAUCUAUAUUGUGGCGAGAAGGGCGUGGCCGAGCGACAUCGGGGCACAGCAAGGCUGGUGAGAUAAAUGGUAAAUGAGUUCCACCUGUCCGCCACACUGGUCUUACAUUCCAGGGAGGAGUGGUGGGAGUAUUUAAGAAGAGAAGACAGUGGCAGACGAGGAGAGAGACGCAAGGAGCUGUGUGUGACUGCGUCACAGUGACUGCUUAAAAGCAAGGCUGUUGAGUGUUGGUGAAUGAGUUUGUUUAUUGUGCUGAAAAGAACGUUUAUAUAUUUAUGUACACUGAAAAUUGUGGCAUUAAAGUCUUGCAUGGAUUGUUCUCCCAGCUCUCGCUUUCUCCUUAAAAGGAAAGGCAGAGGUCUGCCACAUUUGGUGCCGAAACCAAGCUAAACGUCCUUGCCAGCCUGCAACACCUGUAGCUGCUUCCAGAGGUGCCAGGGAAGAGGGAGACAGAGACGAUACACUCAUGCUAAUUGUGAUGACUCUAGAUGGUUACAAAAGCAAGAUGUGGACUCAAACAGUUUAUGAAAUAUAAAUCCACAAAGUGGGGAUACAAACUGUUUGUAUUGGCAGAUUCCCUUUGUGGUUAUACCUGGGACUUCUUUGUAUAUGAGGUCAAGUCUACAGCAGCAGAGAAAGGUAAUGGACUGAGCUAUGAUGUGAUCAUGACCCUUGUAAAUGAGAAGGUGUUGGGAACUGGUUACAAGCUAUUUGUGGAUAACUUCUACUCCAGUCCAAAACACUUCAGAGACCUCCUUGGAAAAAAGAUCUACGCUUGUAGCACCAUCAGACCAAACCAAAAAGGCUUUCCCAAUACAACAGUGAACAAGAUGCCCAAGAACGUAACAUGCGGCACUAUUCGCUGGAUAAGGGACAACUAUCUGUUGUUUGUGGAGUGGAAAGACACAAGGGAAGUGCUGCAGGUAUCCACUUUUCACAAGGCCUUCAUCGGUAAUUAUGUGCAGAGAAGGGUCAAAGGGAAAGAUGGCCGUUGGACUCACUGUCCCUGUUCCAGCUGUUAUCAAUGACUACAGCACAUGGGGGGAGUGGAUCUCUCUGAUGCCCUGAUUGGCUACUACAAUGUCCUCCACAAAACCAAAAAGUGGUACUAGACUUUUUUUUUUUUUACCACAUUGUGGACAUUGUUGUGGUCAAUGGAUUCAUCUUGCAUCAGCAGCUGGCCAGUUCAAGAAAGGAGAAACCCCUUUCUCAGAAGGCAUUCAGAGAGACAAUAAUUUUGGAGCUUGCAGACAUUCAGACUCCAACAGUGACUAAAAAGCAUUUAUUACACAUUUAUAUGAUUGUAAAUCUUACUAUAAACUAUUAAAAUAUAAAAAAAUGUUUUUUGUGAUAUUCUAAAGCAGAAACUGAUCUAACAGUUUGAUAUACCUCAUAAGCUGGUAAACAUGUGUCACUUUUGGAGUCUCCAAAUGGCUUUUUCAGAAAGGCAGACAAACACUUAGAGAAAGGCUUACAGAAAGCUACUUUUCACUAGUAUCACCUUCAAAUUUGAAACAUAGCUUGGUAAGACUCAGGGCUUUAGCCUGUUGUGUUUUAGGUGCCUAUACCACAGCAUUGUGUAUUUAUAAGUGUGAAAUAUGAUUUUUUUCUUUUGUGUUUGCACUUUUUUAUCUCUGUGUUAGUAACAGAUUGAGUAAUUUUGAAGAUUUCAUGGUAAAAUCUCAAGUGUUAGCUUUCUAAAGAUACCUUGAUUAUGUGUGUAGUAAGAGGGACUCAUGAGCAGUAAACCUUUUAUUUUGGGUAUGCCAUUUACCCCAUUUCUCACCAAAGUGGGGGUGCUAGGAAAGAGGUUAAAUAGCCUUUAAAUUAUGUUGGGAAAAUAAGGACAUAAGUAAGGUUAGACUACUGCAUGUUCUCCCAUAGAAUAAUCAUUAAAAGCAAAAAUUACCAACUGGUAACCAGCAAAAAACUUUUGUUCCUCAACAUUGCCACAAAGUCGUCAUGACGGACUGGCACAGUUCCAAAGUUACAUUGUGGCUAUGAAUCCAGGAAUUUCACUUUUCUGGUUGUCACAACGUAAUCGGUUACAUUGCAAUAAAGAAAAUUUGGUCAUCAAAUUACGGUGCAGUUAGGCAAUGAAAGAAAACUUAUCCAAGGUUAAAAUAGAUGCACAAUAAAUCUGUAAACUAAAAACAUAAAUGAGGAUUCAGUAAUUAGGCCUGUUGCAAUUAUUACAUUGUAUGAUAUUUAAACAGGCCCAGUCCCAGAUCAAAAUCACUGAGGGUGCUUCUGAAAAUAGUGGGGGUGCUCUGUAUAAAGUGGAGAUGUAUCGUAAUAACAAAUUUUUUAUAUAUUAAAUCAUGUUUAAAUGCUACUAAAACAACGUAAACUUUUUUUUUUUUUAUGUACAAAACAUUUAUUGCUUCUU